rnacentral:misc_RNA from 1 species
UUUCCGUAGGUGAACCUGCGGAAGGAUCAUUAAAGUUAUAGUCCCCCGGCCCUCUGGGCUGGGGCCUUCUAUACCACCCUCUGUUUAUUACACCUUCGUUGCUUUGGCAGGCCUGCCCUCGGGCUGCUGGCUCCGGCCGGCUCGCGUCUGCCAGAGGACCUAAACUCUGUUUGUAUAUGAAGUCUGAGUACUAUAUAAUAGUUAAAACUUUCAACAACGGAUCUCUUGGUUCUG